rnacentral:rRNA from 1 species
UACGGGGGGAGCAAGGCGUUGUUCGGAUUUACUGGGCGUAAAGGGCGCGUAGGCGGUCAGCACAAGUCAGUUGUGAAAAUCUCCGGGCUUAACCCGGAAAGGUCAACUGAUACUGUGCGACUAGAGUGCGGAAGGGGCAACUGGAAUUCUCGGUGUAGCGGUGAAAUGACGUAGAUAUCGAGAGGAACACCUGCGGCGAAGGCGGGUUGCUGGGCCGACACUGACGCUGAUGCGCGAAAGCCAGGGGAGCGAACGGG